GCACUUGCACGCGCUGCCUGGUUGGAGGACAGUUGGAUACAUGUGCCAGGUUUCCGCUCCAUCUUCCAACACACCAAACACCCUAUCCCACCAGUAAAAGCAUCAUGCUUCCCAAGUCCCAUCGUAUAUACCGCUCACCCUGAUAUAUACCCGCCAGCCUCCCUCUCAUUCGAACAAAAUAUUUACGGAGAGAGAGGUCAGAGCGAAACGAAAUCUAUCUAUUUCUCACACUCUCUCUCUCUCUCAAAAUCCCCCAAACUUCGGGUUGUUUGGUGUUUCUCGCGAAGUCUGCGCUAACAAAAAGCGGCCUUUUUUUGGCUCCAAAUUUGAGCAAAAAAGCCAUUUUUUUUCUGAUUCUUUCCCGAUUUAGAGACCGAAUUCGGAGGAUUGGGAGCCAAGGUCUCUGGCAUGGACUCCCCGGAGACGUAGAACAUCCGGCUCCCUUCAAUUCUGCUAUUGUUUCUCCCAUUUUUUGAUCUUCUUCGCGGAGAAAGAGGUGGGGUGUAGGUGAGAGAGAGAGAGAGAGAGAGAGAGAG
rnacentral:lncRNA from 1 species